rnacentral:rRNA from 1 species
GAUGAACGCUGGCUACAGGCUUAACACAUGCAAGUCGAGGGGAAACGACAUUGAAGCUUGCUUCGAUGGUCGUCGACCGGCGCACGGGUGAGUAACGCGUAUCCAACCUGCCUCUGACCAGGGGAUAACCCGUCGAAAGUCGGCCUAAUACCUUAUGCAGUCGUCGGAAGUCAUCUGAUGACGACGAAAGAUUUCUUCGGUGAGAGAUGGGGAUGCGUCUGAUUAGCUUGUUGGCGGGGUAACGGCCCACCAAGGCAACGAUCAGUAGGGGUUCUGAGAGGAAGGCCCCCCGCAUUGGAACUGAGACACGGUCCAAACGCCUACGGGAGGCAGCAGUGAGGAAUAUUGGUCGAUGGACGAGAGCCUGAACCAGCCAAGUAGCGUGCAGGAGGACGGCCAUAUGGGUUGUAAACUGCUUGUAUGCGAGGAUAAUGUGAGUGACUUGUCCUUCAUUGCAGGUACCGAAUGAAUAAGGACCGGCUAAUUCCGUG